rnacentral:rRNA from 1 species
UGUGUUGUUGGGUAGGGGAGCGUUCUGUAAGCCUGUGAAGGUGUGCUGUGAGGCAUGCUGGAGGUAUCAGAAGUGCGAAUGCUGACAUAAGUAACGAUAAAGCGGGUGAAAAGCCCGCUCGCCGGAAGACCAAGGGUUCCUGUCCAACGUUAAUCGGGGCAGGGUGAGUCGACCCCUAAGGCGAGGCCGAAAGGCGUAGUCGAUGGGAAACGGGUUAAUAUUCCCGUACUUGGUGUUACUGCGAAGGGGGGACGGAGAAGGCUAUGUUGGCCGGGCGACGGUUGUCCCGGUUUAAGCGUGUAGGCUGGUUUUCCAGGCAAAUCCGGAAAAUCAAGGCUGAGGCGUGAUGACGAGGCACUACGGUGCUGAAGCAACAAAUGCCCUGCUUCCAGGAAAAGCCUCUAAGCAUCAGGUAACAUCAAAUCGUACCCCAAACCGACACAGGUGGUCAGGUAGAGAAUACCAAGGCGCUUGAGAGAACUCGGGUGAAGGAACUAGGCAAAAUGGUGCCGUAACUUCGGGAGAAGGCACGCUGACACGUAGGUGAAGUGAUUUACUCAUGGAGCUGAAGUCAGUCGAAGAUACCAGCUGGCUGCAACUGUUUAUUAAAAACACAGCACUGUGCAAACACGAAAGUGGACGUAUACGGUGUGACGCCUGCCCGGUGCCGGAAGGUUAAUUGAUGGGGUCAGCGCAAGCGAAGCUCCUGAUCGAAGCCCCGGUAAACGGCGGCCGUAACUAUAACGGUCCUAAGGUAGCGAAAUUCCUUGUCGGGUAAGUUCCGACCUGCACGAAUGGCGUAAUGAUGGCCAGGCUGUCUCCACCCGAGACUCAGUGAAAUUGAACUCGCUGUGAAGAUGCAGUGUACCCGCGGCAAGACGGAAAGACCCCGUGAACCUUUACUAUAGCUUGACACUGAACAUUGAGCCUUGAUGUGUAGGAUAGGUGGGAGGCUUUGAAGUGUGGACGCCAGUCUGCAUGGAGCCGACCUUGAAAUACCACCCUUUAAUGUUUGAUGUUCUAACGUGGACCCGUGAUCCGGGUUGCGGACAGUGUCUGGUGGGUAGUUUGACUGGGGCGGUCUCCUCCUAAAGAGUAACGGAGGAGCACGAAGGUUGGCUAAUCCUGGUCGGACAUCAGGAGGUUAGUGCAAUGGCAUAAGCCAGCUUGACUGCGAGCGUGACGGCGCGAGCAGGUGCGAAAGCAGGUCAUAGUGAUCCGGUGGUUCUGAAUGGAAGGGCCAUCGCUCAACGGAUAAAAGGUACUCCGGGGAUAACAGGCUGAUACCGCCCAAGAGUUCAUAUCGACGGCGGUGUUUGGCACCUCGAUGUCGGCUCAUCACAUCCUGGGGCUGAAGUAGGUCCCAAGGGUAUGGCUGUUCGCCAUUUAAAGUGGUACGCGAGCUGGGUUUAGAACGUCGUGAGACAGUUCGGUCCCUAUCUGCCGUGGGCGCUGGAGAACUGAGGGGGGCUGCUCCUAGUACGAGAGGACCGGAGUGGACGCAUCACUGGUGUUCGGGUUGUCAUGCCAAUGGCACUGCCCGGUAGCUAAAUGCGGAAGAGAUAAGUGCUGAAAGCAUCUAAGCACGAAACUUGCCCCGA